AGUAUAAAAUUUAUGUUAAGAUUUAUAAAAAAAAGAUUUUUAUAAUUAGUAUUUUAAAGAAUAUUAAAUUUUUGUUAUAGUAAAAGGUAUUGUGAAAGGUUAUUGAAAUAGGGAGAAUAAAUAUUAAAAGAAAGAAGAAUUAUAUUUUUGUACCUUGGGUAUCAGGGUUUAUUAAAAUAAGUUAAAAAUAUUAGUAUUCUCGAAUUAAGAAGAGUUAAUAUUAUAUAAAUUUAAUUGUAAAAUAAAUUUUUAUAAUAUAAUAUUAGAAAUGAAAUGUUAAUCGUUUUUUAAGAUAUCUAGUUUUUUAAGAAAUAAAUUUAAUUUAGUUUAUAUUUUUAAGAUGUUAAUUUUUUAGUUUAAUUAAAAUAUAAAAUAAUAUUUUUAGGGAUAAGCUUAGAAAUAGAAUAUUAAAAUUAAGGUUGUAUAUGAAUAAAAGUAGGAUUGGAAUUUUUUAUCAAUAGUAUGUUAUAGUUAAUUUUCAUAUUAAUAAGAUUUAUAUAAUAAUUUAAGUUAUUUAUUAAGAUAGCAUAUUUAUUAGGGAAUUGUGUGUGAUAAUGAUAAAAUUAGUAUAAUAUAAUGUUUAUAUAUUUAAAAUAGUAAAGUUUAAAUUAAGGAAUUCGGCAAAUAUAUUUUUCGCCUGUUUAUUAAAAACAUGUCUUUUUGAUUAUAAUUUAAAGUCUGGCCUGCCCAAUGAGGAGUUGAAUGGCCGCGGUAUUUUGACCGUGCAAAGGUAGCAUAAUCAUUAGUUUUUUAAUUGGAAGCUGGAAUGAAAGGUUGGACGAGAAAAUUACUGUCUCAGUUUAAUAUGAAUUAGAAUUUUAUUUUUAAGUAAGAAAGCUUAAAUAAUUUUAAAAGACGAGAAGACCCUAUAGAGUUUUAUAUUUUUAAAAAUAGAGAAUAUUAAGAAUUAUUAAAGUUUUUAUAUGUAAAAAUAUUUUGUUGGGGUGAUAGAAAAAUUAAUUAAACUUUUUUUUAUAUAAAACAUUGAUUUAUGAAUAUUUGAUCCAUAGUUUAUGAUUAAAAGAUUAAAUUACCUUAGGGAUAACAGCGUAAUUUUUUUUGAGAGUUCAUAUCGAAAAAAGAGUUUGCGACCUCGAUGUUGGAUUAAAAUUAACUUUUGGUGUAGGGGCUAAAAGGUUAGGUCUGUUCGACCUUUAAAAUUUUACAUGAUCUGAGUUUAGACCGGCGUGAGCCAGGUUGGUUUCUAUCUUUAAAUAGGAAAAAUAUUUUAGUACGAAAGGACCAAAUAUUUAUAAUAUUUAUUUUAAUAUGAUUAUUAUU
rnacentral:rRNA from 2 species